rnacentral:rRNA from 1 species
GAUUAACGCUGGCGGCGUGCAUAACACAUGCAAGUCGAACGAUGAAACUCAUUAGAUUUCUUCGGAAUGAAAAUGAAUGGAUUAGUGGCGAACGGGUGAGUAACGCGUGAGUAACCUGCCUUACACAAGGGGAUAGCCUCUGGAAACGGAGAAUAAUACCCUAUGAAACCAGACAAUCGCAUGAUAAUCUGGUCAAAAUGUUUAGUGGUGUAAGAUGGACUUGCGUCUGAUUAGCUAGUUGGUGAGAUAAAAGCUCACCAAGGCAACGAUCAGUAGCCGGCUUGAGAGAGUGUACGGCAACAUUGGGACUGAGACACGGCCCAGACUCCUACGGGAGGCAGCAGUGGGGAAUUUUGUACAAUGGGGGAAACCCUGAUGCAGCGACGCCGCGAGAUUUAGAAGGCCUUCGGGUUGUAAAAAUCUUUUGUAUAGGAAGAAAAUGACAGUACUAUACGAAUAAGGUCCGGCUAAUUACGUG